UGCUUGCCUCGAUUUUACAACAACCGACACGGUGAGGAGCCGAGGAUCUCCAGAUAACUAGGAAUAGAGAAACCCUGCUCUGACCUGAGCUGCCUCCUCAGAAACCUCGUAAACUCGGCUCAUUAAAACCUCACUAGAGUGAGCCCUCCAGAACAUUUUCCAUGUUCCUCCUGAUUGCCGUUACUUGUCCUGGUCACAGUACUGCUGCUGAAACAGUGAAAGCAUCAACUGGUGAACGCGUAGCCCUGCCAUGUAAAAUGCCAAAUGAUCUAAUCCCGAAGGAACCAUUCUUCUUGUGGAGCAAUGGAAUUGAGAGAAUUUGUGACCUAACUACAGAAAAAGUUACAAUUUACGAGGCCUUCGAGGGACGUGCAGAUGUUUCUGAGGAGAAGCUUAAAGAUGGAGACUGCUCGCUCGUCCUGUAUAACGUCAAUGAGUCUGACAGCGGAAAGUACGGAUUUUACAAGGUGGGACACAAAGAAGAACUACUACUGCACGUGGAUCUCUUAGUUAAAGCCAAGGAUCCGACUCAAAGCCUCACCACAGCACGUCCACCAGAAAACCAGCUACAGCAGACCAGCGGCACCAGCUCAGCUCCUGACGGACAGCACACCUCUCAUCGGAUCAUAACAGGAUCUGUUAUUGGUGCUGCUGUGGUGAUCGACGCAGUUCUUCUCGGAAUCUGCAUCUAUCUGUGUAAACGUAAAAAAGGUGAGUUGGAUCACAUAAUUAGAAAUGUUCUAGAUAAGGGUUCUCCAGCUCCAGUCCUGCAGGUAAUACCAUCUACUAAACAUAAAGUACAGAUAAUGUACUGCUGACUUGAAUGGUGUGUCUUUGAGCAGGAACCUAAUCAAACUGUGCACCAAACCAGACCUCCAGGACCAGAACUGGACCCCCUGCUCCAGACUAUACCCUGCUCCAAGGAAACUCUGCUCUUUAAAAUUUGAUCAUUAGGGUUAUGUGAACGCUGCAGAUCCACUUGACCAGAACUUUGACCUCUUUUAUGAAUCCACACAAUUCAGUGCACCAUUUAAUAUCAGUGUGACAGGAAAACACUUUGUCGAGCUAAAUGUUCGUCAAUGAGCAGCAGAGCCCAGCAGCAGAGCGGAGUGUCUCUGGAGAAAGACUUCGGAACCCCUGGACUGUUGAGGACAGCCGGGUUUCAGGCUGUUGAGUUUCCAUCCUAAAUGUGUGGAGAAAUCUGUAAUCCGUGGUGAUAAUGUGGGUUUUAGAGCCAGCUGUAAUCCAGCUUGAUCUGUCCAGAUCCCAGGGGACCUCAGACCUGCUGUUCUGACUGAUGUCAGAGCGGAACCCUCUAAAGUCGGGUCCGAAUCAGAGUGCUCUGGUUUUUUUUUUUUUGGUUUUUUUUUUAUUUUAAACCUUUAUUUUACCAGGUAAAAUGUUUGAGAACCAGUUCUCAUUUACAAACAUGACCUGGCCGAAAGGCCCCAAUAAAAAUAGGUCCACGGCACAUAAAAACAGAUACAUACAAAAGCAAGUAUACAUACCAAAAGUAAAACAUAACAGAACAAACAAAAAAAUACAGAUUUACAUAAAACAAACCAAAAAAUAUGAAAAAAGCAGGAGUAAGGAUAGAGAAAAAUGAGUAUGUAUGAGUAUGUGCAUUAUUUUUAUCCAUGAUUAUUAACAAGAGCAACAGUUUACUAUUGUAUGUUUAAUUGUAUGCUUGAAAGUGGUAAGAGGUGUUAAAAUUGCAAGUCUAAGGGUGGUUUGUAAAGUAUUCCAAUCAUUUGCUGCUGAAAAACGAAAGGAAUUGCAGCCAAAGGUACUGCAGAUUUUGGGAAUGGUGAGUUUGAUGUAUUCACUUGACCUUGUGCGAUAUUUAUUAUUGGCUACGUGAAGAAGAGACGACAGAUAUGGUGGUGUUAUGGCCAAGAUCGUCUUGUAGAUGAAGUGAAACCAAUGAUGGAGCCGCCGAGUAUGAAGUGAGGGCAAGCCCACCAGUUUAUAGAGAUCACAGUGAUGAGUAUUGAAAGGUGCAUUAGUGGCAAAGCGGAUGGCAGAAUGAUAAAGUGUGUCUAGUUUUCUAAGAACAGUGCAUGAUGCCAUUUUAUAGAUGAUGUCACCAUAGUCCAAAAUUGGAAGUAUUGUCAUUUUAACAAGAGUAAGCUUGGCUGCAUAAGUAAAAGAGGCUUUAUUACGAAAAAGAAAAGCUAGUCUAGCUUUGACUUUAUUCUGAAGGUUAUUGAUAUGUGUGGAGAAAGACAGAGACGAGUCCAACCAGAUGCCUAAAUAUUUGUAAGAUUGAACAAAUUCCAAAGUAAUGCCAUUAGCACAGCUGAUCUUGGGGGGGGUUAGCAGCAUCUUUUUUUCGACUAAAGAUAAUGCAUUUGGUCUUGUUAGUAUUAAGGCGGAGAUGAAGGUUAUGAAAGGACUGCUCUACUGAGGUGAGACUCAAUUGAAUUGUAGAUGCUGCAGAAUGAAGUGAUGGGCCAACUGAAUAAAGUAUGGUGUCAUCAGCGUAUAGAUGGAUUUUAGAGUUACCAGCAACUUUGGCUACAUCAUUAAUGUAGAUGGAAAACAAAGUUGGUCCCAAGAUGGAGCCCUGAGGCACACCUUUGGAGAUGGUUAAUGGUUCUGACACUAUGUUUUCUGUUUUCAGCUGCUGGACACGUUCAGAUAAAUAGCUGGCAAACCAAUCACAGCAAGUAGUAGACAGACCAAUGCUGGAAAGUCGACGUAGAAGGAUCCUAUGAUCAACUGAAUCAGCCAGGUCAAUAAAAGCAGCUAUACAGGCCUUUUUGCUGUCCAAUGAUGUAACAAUGUCAUCAAGGACCUUUGUAAUAGCAGUCAAGCAUCCAUGACCAGCACGAAAACCAGAUUGAACGUCAGAUAGGAUAUCAUUUGAAUCAAGAAAAUGGGUUAGCUGUUUAUAAACCAACCUCUCCAAGAUUUUCGCUAAGCAUGGUAAAAUAGAAAUAGGUUGAUAACAGUCGGGGUCUGAAACAGAGCCACCUUUAAAAAGGGGAAAAAUCAUGGCUGAUUUCCAGUCAGAGGGAAAAACAGAGAGCUGUAGAGACAAGUUAAAUAUUUUUGUAAUGGGAGCAGCAAUGAUGUGAGCAGAUGCUUUUAAAAACAUGGGAUCGAGUCCGUCAAAGCCAGCCGAUUUAUUUGGGUUUAAUUUAGUGAGUUCAUCCCGCACCUCUAAUAUAGAAAUGGGUUUGAAAGAGAAACCAGCAUUGCUGGAGCAGGAAGGCUGAGCAACUGACAAAGCAGCGACUGGGUCGGGGAGAGUAAAAGGUUUGGUUGAAUUAAUAAAAUAAUGGUUAAGAAGUGAAGCCAUACGAGGCUUAUCACUAACAAUGGUCUUAUGGCCGUGGUAUUGCUCUGAGGUCAGUGCCAGUUUUAAACAUGUUUCUCGCAGGAAGAACACCAGGCGGUGCAGGCAGUAACCUGGAUAAUCGUGCGUCCAUACCACUGAAUAAUUGAGGAAAUCCUCCGAACUCAAGAGAUCCAGAAGAGGUUAUGACCCUUCACUGACGUGUGUCCAGUGUACAGGAUGUCCUGAAGACCUGGAUGAAGAAGAACGAAGGAAAACGAAUGAAGGAAAGGUCACUGGAUAGAUUUCCCAUCACUGGAUAGACUUCCCAUCCCCUCUCGUGAAGGCUUGUUCAUUUGGACAUCUCUGUUACUGAAGGAAGAUCAGUAAACUGAUGAAGACUGGCUCUGGUCAGGGAUCCUGGCUGGACACGCUGUGAGAACGAAGGACUCUCAGCAAAGUGAAUGACUAAUCCUGUCUGUACAGUGAGAGUAACAAACCGAUAGAGCCGCACUGUGACCAUUAGUGUCAGGCUCAUUGGGGAGGUUCUGACCUCCUUCACGCUGGGUCUGAGCCGUGUAGUACAGCCAGCUGGUUGGUUUAGCUGACUGAAGUGUGUGGCGCACUCUCUCUCGUAAAUUCAUUUUAAUUACAUUAGAUAAUUACAUGCAGGGUUUUCUUAAUUGAGGGUUCUAUUCAUUCAUAUGUCUAUGGGUUUUCUAUCUAUGAGGGAUUAUAGAUUAUGGAACAGUGGGGUUUGUGUAUAAUGGAUUGAGGUUAUACCUCAUUAAAUAAUGUUUUGGGACACAGA